AACGAACGCUGGCGGCAGGCUUAACACAUACAAGUCGAACGGGCGUAGCAAUACGUCAGUGGCAGACGGGUAAGUAACACGUGGGAACCUUCCUAGGGGUACGGAACAACUCAGGGAAACUUGAGCUAAUACCGUAUACGUCCGAGAGGAGAAAGAUUUAUCGCCCUUAGACGGGCCCGCGUCGGAUUAGGUAGUUGGUGGGGUAACGGCCUACCAAGCCGACGAUCCGUAGCUGAUCUGAGAGGAUGAUCAGCCACACUGGGACUGAGACACGGCCCAGACUCCUACGAGAGGCAGCAGUGGGGAAUCUUGGACAAUGGGCGCAGGCCUGAUCCAGCCAUGCCGCGUGAGUGAAGAAGGCCUUAGGGUUGUAAAGCUCUUUUGGCAGGGACGAUAAUGGCGGUACCUGCAGAAUAAGCCCCGGCAAACUUCGUGCCAGCCGCCGCCGUAAAAC
rnacentral:rRNA from 1 species